UAGCCGUAAACGAUACUCGCUAGGUGUCGGCCACGGUGCGACCGUUGUCGGUGCCGUAGGGAAGCCGUGAAGCGAGCCACCUGGGAAGUACGGCCGCAAGGCUGAAACUUAAAGGAAUUGGCGGGGGAGCACAACAACGGGUGGAGCUUGCGGUUUAAUUGGAUUCAACGCCGGAAAUCUUACCGGGACCGACAGCAACAUGAAGGCCAAGCUGAAGACUUUGCCGGAUUAGCUGAGAGGUGGUGCAUGGCGUCAGUGACU
rnacentral:rRNA from 1 species